rnacentral:rRNA from 1 species
GUCCAUGCCCUAAACGUUGAUUACUCGUUGUUGGCGAUACACUGUCAGCGACUAAGCGAAAGCGUUAAGUAAUCCACCUGGGGAGUACGAUCGCAAGGUUGAAACUCAAAGGAAUUGACGGGGGCCCCGCACAAGCGGUGGAGCAUGUGGUUUAAUUCGAUGAUACGCGAGGAACCUUACCAGGGCUUGAAAGUUAGUGACCGCUGCCGAAAGGUGGCUUCCCUUCGGGGCACGAAACUAGGUGCUGCAUGGCUGUCGU